UAAUUAGUAUCUCCUGCUCAAUGAUAUUUAAAUAGCCGCAAAUUUACGUGCUAAGGUAGCAUAAUCACUUGCCUUUUAAUUAAAGGCUAGAAUGAAAGGAUUUACGAGUUGAUUUCUUUAUUAUCUUGAUUUCUUUAAACUUACAUUUAAGUAAAAAGGCUUAAAUACAUAAAGAAGACGACAAGACCCCAUCGAACUUAAAAUCACAUUUUUACUGGGGAGGUAAAAAACUAAAUCUUUUUAUUACUAAAAUUAAACCAACCUUUCAAAAAGAUCUAACAAAUAAGUUACCGUGGGGAUAACAG
rnacentral:rRNA from 1 species